UUUUGGACAAGUUUUAUGCCACUCCUGGUGCAAAAAUCCAAGCAGUUCAGCUUGUUUUGGUGGUUUGUGAUCAUCCGUCUUCCUUUUGAGUAAAUUGCAGGUAUAGAGUUUUUCGAUUUGGUCAAAUCAAAGAAACGUAUCGUUUUAAGUGGCCCUCUUUUUUUGCAGAGCUGUAUAUUAUGCACAUGCAUAAAUACGUCAGACUGCAAUUAUAUGCAGCAGCACUAUGUGAUAUCUGUGUAGCCUAUAGCUAAUUACGUCAGUAUGUGUGUGUGUGUAGAUGCGUUUCGUGGGCGGGGGGUUACUUCAGGUCAUUAACUGGUCGGUGGCACGUGGUCUUUAGUAACUGGUGUAGGAUGCUGCUGUGUGUGUGUGUGUGUGUGUGUGUGUGUGUGUGUAAUAAUCUCAGGUUUAGAGUUAGCUGUGGGUCCUCUGUAGUCUCUGUGGAUAAGACUACUGGCCGCAGUUCGGUUUCUCCGGGCGGUCUGACCAGCGCGGCUCUCUGGCCGGCUCUCCGACGGGCUGCUGUCCCUCUGCCCGGUCAGUGCGGACCGCAGACCGGCGCUGGAGCUCGGGCUGUAGCCUCGCUGGCGGCGCGCGGCAGUGACCUGCAGUGCGCGCGCGGCCGGGGUCCUGUCAGGGCGAGCUGGCACCGCUCCACACACGGGAUUAGAAACAUUAUGUAAAAGAGUUUUGAGGCGUAUGGAAGUAGGUUGGCCGGUGUCUGCGUGCUCCACGUGACCGCGCUGAGGCUGGCUGACUGGCUGGCUGCACUGCAGCGCUCCUGCUGAAAGGGGGCGCUCCGUGCCUCUUCCAGACCACAGCCAGCAGCAGCCUGUAGACCACUGGACCACAGUGGAGGAGCAUGCAGACCCAUUCAGCUCCUGCUCUUACCUCUCUGCACUGCUGCUGCUGUUCUCUGCAGGCUGCGAAGUGAACUCAAUGAAGGCGGUUUGAGACAUGCUUGGUCUGGGAGAAGGAGGCUGGUCUUCUAAAUGAGCAGAAAAAGGAAAUGGAAUGACCAUGCAUUUCUACACUCAUUGAAAGAGAAUACCAGGCUGUUCUGUAGACUCAGUGAAGGCGGUCUGAGACAUGUUUGGACUGGGAGAAGGAGGUGGCUCUACCAAAGAAGUAGGUCUCUACUGCACAGACGACUCUGGUUGCAAAUCUAUAGUUGCAACAUGGCAGAAAAAAUGGCAUGAAUUUCUAAAGAACAGAUAUGAAUAAAACCACAGCAUCAGUGCUUGUCUACAGUGAUUCCUGUGCACUAAUAAGGAGACACAGAUAUCUUACGGACAACAGUGCACAACAGUUUAAACCAGAUAAAUCAGUUUGACAGCAGCAGGAACUAUAGAGUGGAGUGGUUUGACAGGUUUAAUGAAAGUGAUUGACUUAAUACAGAAUAUUAAAAAUAAUUGUCACUUCCUGUUCCAAACACACUUGAAGCAAACAAGCUGUGACAGCUGACACCACGGUGAUGGUUCACUUUUUUCAACCUAAAGCUACAGUUUUUUCUCUCUGUGUCUUUUCCUCUCGUUUUUUCUUCACAUGAAAUGGCACUUCAGUUCUACUGGUCAUGUUCAUCACUGCUCAUUUUCUAGGCCUCAUUCUCAGCAUCUGUGUCUUCAUUUGAAAAGCAAAUGAUGCUGAUGAAACCCUCUAGACAAUAGGGUGCUGUAAGCAGGCUAAUUGAUCAUAAUCAGCUGUAUUGUAGUAUGCAAAACAGUCGUAUACUGAUUAGAAGCCAGUGGCUGUGGUUUGAGGGAAUGUACUGUAUAAAGGAGAAAAACAUGAAUAUAAGCAUUUUGCUCAAAUGACUCUUCUGGAAUGUAGUAGGCAUGCAAUGAUGCUUACACUGUUAGUGAUAUUGUAUUGUUUUUAUAUAUAGCUUUGAAGACUCUUAUGUGUCCCUGUGACAUCUAAGGUAUAUGCAAUACCUUAUAGCCUAUUGUAAAAAAUAAAAUUAACAACGCAAGCUUUUAUUACCUUAAAUUCUUUAGAAUUGACAACAAAUGUACUUAUAUAUAUUUAUAUAUUUUGUAAGAAACCUGGAAUCAGCCUCUUAUUGUUUCUGUUCAUGUUUUGUGUGAAGGUCCUGUUAUUCAACCAUAUUGACCCAUCCAGACUGUAUAUUGUACAUUACUGUUUGAUUCCUUAUUGUUUGAUUCUUUGUUUUAUGGCUUAACUGUGAACUGUCUGUUUUAAAUGUUGAAACUGAUGUUUAGGCUGCUGUCUUGGCCAGGCUUCCCUUGAAAAAGAGAUCAUUGUGUCUCAAUGGGACCGACCUGGUUAAAUAAAGGCUAAAUAAAAAAAAUAUAUAUAUAUAUAUAUUAGAUAUAGAUAAACAAACACUAAUUGUUAAAGAAAUAGUUGCACAAAAGAUGAAAAAGUUACCAGAAACAAUAAAUGAUUUAAGAUUAAGACUGGUAUGUGUAAGAUGUCUUAGUAUGGACUUGUAGAGGUUCCUAGGGGUGAUGGCUAAUCCAUCCCAUGACGCUUAAAUAUAUACAGAGUUCCUGCAGACUGUGUGGUAUCCAAACGCAUUUUUGAUAUUUUGAGUGUAUAUUAAAAUUAAAAGAUAGAGAGAUAGAGAGAGAGCGCGAGAGAGAGAUAGAUAGAUAGAUAAAUAGACAGACAGAUAGAUAGAUCAUCAGUCUUCCUCUUGAUUAUAUUCUAGAGGUUUUCAAUUUAGUAAAAUCAAAGAUACUCAUCAUUUUUAAGUGGUCUCAUUUUUUUCCAGAAUUGUAUGUGUAUAUACUGUAUCUCAAUAUUGAGCUUUAAGUCUGGAUCAUAUGGGAUUCAUUUUAGUCUAAGUAAUUGAUUUGAAACCUUAGACGAAACGGACCGGGCGUAUCACUAAUCAGCUCACAGGAGGACUAGUAAUUAUCAACAUUGAUCUGUAAUCAAUAAGGCGUGAAGACUGCAGAGCUCCGGGUGCCGUGCUCUGCUGCAGCAGAAACAAAGCUUCACUUUAAAUUGUCUAGACAAAUAAAUUGAGUUUUUUUUUACUUACACAGAAUGGCUCUGCACUCUCUGUGGUAUCUGGGAGUGUGUGUGUGUGUGUGUGUGUGUGUGUGUGUGUGUGUGUGUGUGUGUGUAUGUGUAUGAGGGAGGGGGAGAGUUAGUGAGUGUAUGUAUGUAUGUGUUUAUGUCUGUGUCAGUGUGUAUACGUGUUGUGUUGAAUUAAAGCUGCGCUUGGUGCCAGAGUCUGGCCGGCAGAAAGUGCUUCUCUCACUCAGUGGAAGAUCAGAUGAUAGCGGGGAGGAAGCGGAGGGUAAUGGAGAGUGGAGUGUGUUUGAGAGGAGGGUUGAAACGGGGGGAGGGUCAGAAUGUCCCGAGUGGUGAAAUAUAAAACGUGCCUCUCCCCCGGGUUCUAUAAGGCCCAUACUCCAACAAUACAGAGCCAAUAUUGUACAAUGCCUAUCCUUCUCCUGCUUGUUGUGAAGACAGGAUAGGUGAUUGAUUUCCCAUCCUCCUUUUUCCUGCUGCAUUGCGUAUACAUUACACCCUUAGCAAAGAGUGCUCUACAUACUUUCCAAAGCUUACAAAAAUCCCAUGUACAGCACUAAGAUAUGAAUCACGACAGUGGCCCCCAUUUUGGUGCAAAAGAGCUUUUUUUUUUACAAAAAAGAAAGAAAAAUGAAACAUAAAGAAUAAAGAUUACAAACAAUGCAAAACAAUCUGUACGGAUGUCCGCACAAAGCAUGAUGCAGAACAAAGAAAUACGCAGGGUUUACGUAUAGCCAGGGAAACACAAAACACCUAAGGUAGUAAAAAACUAGACACAGGUGACAGGGCGGGGCUAUGGUGGAGACAAGACACCAACAAAACAGAGACAUGUGCUCAAAAGCACAUGGGGAGAAAAACAAGGUAGAGAAGACAUGUAAACAGACAGGCAAGAAAACAAGACAGAAACAAAAAAGACCAGUACUUUGACUUCUAACACUAACGCAACUACUAUUACUAGAACAACCACUAUUGCCAUUACCACCACUAUUCCUACUACAACUUACCACCAUAGCUACUCCAGCUAAUAUGACAACUAGUAAUAUUACCAACAUAAGUAUCCCUGUUACACCUACUACUUUUACUACUGCUACUACUACAAUAACCAUACUAUUACCAUUAACACCAAUACAACACUACUACUACCACUACAACAUCAUACUUAAAAUGAUUAAAAUUAAACUAAAAUGAUUGCUACUCCUUCAACUACUCCCACCAACACUACUACCACUACAUUUCUACUACAUCUGCCAUGACUACUACUACUUCCAACACAUGUACUUCAAAUACUAGUGUUACUAGUAUCACCACUACUACUACUAGCACCAGUAAUACCAAUACACCAAUAUUUACUGCUAUUUCUCCAUACGUAACUCCUACAGUACAACCAUCACCACCAGCAUUACUAGCAUUACUACCACCACCAAUUAUGCAGCUCUGGAUUUGCUAUUUAUAAGUAUAUAUUGCUGAGGAAAAUUAACAUUGUUCUAUACACUACGGACAACAUUUCUCCCAAAUUCCAAAUAAAAAAAUAUUUUGUCAUUUAGAGCAUUUAUUUGCUCUAAAAAGGUUGCAAAGCUUUCAGACCUCAAAUAAUUCAGAGAAAACAAGUUCAUAUACAUAAAGUUUUAAGAGUUAAAAAAAAAUUUGGUAGAAUAACCCGUUUUUUUAAUCACAGUUUUCAGUUGCAUCUUGGCAUGUUCUCCUCCACCAGUCUUACACACUGCUUUUGGAAACUACGACUGCUACUACCACUACUAGUAAAAAUACUUUUGUUCCAACCACAACCAAUGCUACUUUUAAUUCUUCUACCAUUCAUGCUACUUUUACAUAUUAUACUCCUACUAAUACUGCUUCUACUGUCACACAGAACAGUGUCUAUCUUCUG